UACAGAGGUCUCGAGCGUUGUUCGGAUUUAUUGGGCGUAAAGGGUGCGUAGGCGGUGUGGCAAGUCAAGUGUGAAAUCUCGGAGCUUAACUCUGAAACUGCACUUGUUACUGCCGUGCUAGAGGGUUGUAGAGGAGAUCGGAAUUCACGGUGUGGCAGUGAAAUGCGUAGAUAUCGUGAGGAAGACCAGUUGCGAAAGCGGGUCUCUGGGCAAUUCCUGACGCUGAGGCACGAAGGCUAGGGGAGCAAACGGG
rnacentral:rRNA from 1 species